rnacentral:rRNA from 1 species
AUUGAACGCUGGCGGCAUGCUUUACACAUGCAAGUCGAACGGUAACAGGCCGCAAGGUGCUGACGAGUGGCGAACGGGUGAGUAAUGCAUCGGAACGUGCCCAGUCGUGGGGGAUAACGCAGCGAAAGCUGCGCUAAUACCGCAUACGAUCUAUGGAUGAAAGCGGGGGACCGUAAGGCCUCGCGCGAUUGGAGCGGCCGAUGUCAGAUUAGGUAGUUGGUGGGGUAAAGGCUCACCAAGCCAACGAGCUGUAGCUGGUCUGAGAGGAGGACCAGCCACACUGGGACUGAGACACGGCGCAGGCACCUACGGGAGGCAGCAGUGGGGAAUUUUGGACAAUGGGCGCAAGCCUGAUCCAGCAAUGCCGCGUGCAGGAAGAAGGCCUUCGGGUUGUAAACUGCUUUUGUACGGAACGAAACGGUCCUGGUUAAUACCUGGGGCUAAUGACGGUACCGUAAGAAUAAGCACCGGCUAACUACGUGCCAGCCGCCGCGGUAAUAC